CGUUAUUUUCUGCUCUACUUUUCAAUCAGACAAGACGAACCAGAAAAAUCAUGGCUUCUCAGCUCCUUAGACGCGCUUUAGGAAGCCGCUCCUCCCAGAUCCUUUCCUCCACUACCACCGCCGCUGCCGGACCUAAUUACUCCUUGCUAGCGUCGGCCGCCAGGGCUUUCUCCUCCUCUACAACUCCGAUAACAGCCACUCUCUUUCCUGGCGACGGUAUCGGCCCCGAGAUCGCUGAGUCUGUCAAACAGGUAUUUAAGGCAGCUGAGGUGCCAAUUGAGUGGGAAGAACACUAUGUUGGGACUGAAAUAGAUCCUAGAACCCAGAGUUUCUUAACAUGGGAAAGUUUGGAGUCAGUUAGAC
rnacentral:misc_RNA from 1 species